rnacentral:miRNA from 1 species
UGCCUAGGCUGGAGCGAGCGUGGUGGCACAAUCCUAGCCCACUGAAGCCCUGACCUCCUGAGUU